GGAAGGAGAAGGAGAAGGAGAAGAAGAGGGAGCCAAAGAAACAGGAGAUCCGCAUCUUUCGCACCUGGGGCUUGGAAGGAAGUCUCAUGCAGGAAGCUGAGUAAGAAAUCUACAAAAUCCUGGAUGACUCUUCAUACAUGGCUAGUGGCCCACAUUCAUUGGUUGCAAGUUGUGCUGGCAUGAUAACAAGGCAUGCUCAAUUUACAACCCAACACAUGGCUUUAACUUUUGUGGCUACUUCGCUUAAAACUACGAUUUGGAAUGCAUGGCCCUUCAGAUGUCUUUGGAGAUUCAUUAUCCUUCACCAGCAGCAAUGUUGGCUUGUGCUGAUGGGAACGGUGGUCCAGCAACAUCUUGGGAAUUCCAUGUAUCCUGCAUCUCUACUUUAAAAGUUCUUAAUAUGGUUUUUCCUGUUUUUUGCCUAUGCUGGAGUUACUGUAUAGCCACUCUCUCAGAACAGGAGAGUUAAUUAAAUGUGAUCAUGCA